GACGAACGCUGGCGGCGUGCCUAAUACAUGCAAGUAGAACGCACAGUUUAUACCGUAGCUUGCUACACCAUAAACUGUGAGUUGCGAACGGGUGAGUAACGCGUAGGUAACCUGCCUGGUAGCGGGGGAUAACUAUUGGAAACGAUAGCUAAUACCGCAUAAUAUUGAUUAUUGCAUGAUAAUUGAUUGAAAGAUGCUAUUGCAUCACUACCAGAUGGACCUGCGUUGUAUUAGCUAGUAGGUGAGGUAACGGCUCACCUAGGCGACGAUACAUAGCCGACCUGAGAGGGUGAUCGGCCACACUGGGACUGAGACACGGCCCAGACUCCUACGGGAGGCAGCAGUAGGGAAUCUUCGGCAAUGGACGAAAGUCUGACCGAGCAACGCCGCGUGAGUGAAGAAGGUUUUCGGAUCGUAAAGCUCUGUUGUAAGAGAAGAACGGGUGUGAGAGUGGAAAGUUCACACUGUGAUGGUAUCUUACCAGAAAGGGACGGCUAACUACGUG
rnacentral:rRNA from 1 species